rnacentral:rRNA from 1 species
CCAGACUCCUACGGGAGGCAGCAGUGGGGGAUAUUGCACAAUGGGGGGAACCCUGAUGCAGCGACGCCGCGUGGGUGAAGGAGUGCUUCGGCAUGUAAAGCCCUAUCGGCAGGGAAGAAGCAAGACGGUACCUGACUAAGAAGCCCCGGCUAACUACGUGCCAGCAGCCGCGGUAAUACGUAGGGGGCGAGCGUUAUCCGGAUUUACUGGGUGUAAAGGGAGCGUAGACGGCAGUGCAAGUCCGGAGUGAAAGCCCGGGGCUCAACCCUGGGACUGCUCUGGAAACUGUAAAGCUGGAGUGCGGGAGGGGCAGGCGGAAUUCCUGGUGUAGCGGUGAAAUGCGUAGAUAUCAGGAGGAACACCGGCGGCGAAGGCGGCCUGCUGGACCGUGACUGACGUUGAGGCUCGAGAGCGUGGGGAGCAAACAGGAUUAGAUACCCGCGUA